rnacentral:rRNA from 1 species
GUUAUCUACAAUAAUAAACAUUUUAUCUCACGAAGUCAUAUGAGCUAUAUAUUAAAUAUUAUUUAGAAUAAUGAACAUUAGUGUAGCAGUACUAAAGAUUUAUAAGUGUAUAGGGGUGAAAGGCUUUUCAAAUUUGGCGAUAUCUUGAUGGCUCGGAAAAAUAUAUAGUAUAAAAUAAAUUAGAAAUGUUAAGGUUUUUAAUUUACAUAAUUAGUUAAUAGUGUAUUGUUGUAUACAUAAUAGUUACAUCUCUAGAUAAUGUAAUAUUAAUAAACUAAAGUAUAUGUAAAAUACUUGUCACUUAAAUUUAAUAAAUUAAUUAAUUUAAAAUGAUAAUAUUAGUAUUUAUUUUAAACCUGAUUAAGGAAUUCAGCAAAUUUUUUCUCGACUGUUUAACAAAAACAUUGCUCUAUGUAAUUAUUUAGGGUUUAACCUGCUCAAUGAAUUAUUAAAUAGCCGCAGUACAUUGACUGUGCAAAGGUAGCAUAAUCAAUUGGCUUAUAAUUGAAGUCUAGUAUGAAUGGGAAUUCGGGGAAUAACUGUCUCUAACAAGUUAAUUAGAAAUUACUUAGUGGGUGAAAAUUCCCAUAUAAUAGAAGAAAGACGAGAAGACCCUAGAAAUUUUUUAUAUAUACAUUUUUUAUAUUCUAUUUUGUUGGGGCGACAUAGUAACAGUUAACUUACUAUAUAACAUGCUACUUAUAAGUAGUAAGAAUAAAUUACUCUAGGGAUAACAGCAUUAUUCGUUUAUGAGUUUGUGACCUCGAUGUUGGACUAGGAAAUAAUUUGUCUAGAAGGUAAAUUAAAAAGCUCUGUUCGAGCUUACUCUCCUACAUGAUCUGAGUUCAGACCGG